AUAUUUAAAGAAUUAAACUCGAGAUUUAAUACAUUAUAAAUUUGCCAAUCAAUUCAUCACCAAAUAAUAAUUUCAAGAACAUUCAUGUUAAUGACUAUACAAAUUGACAAUGAUAGGAUUGAAAGCAGUAAAUUUUGAAAAUCGUCUUUAUAAUGUUCGCAUUCUGGGCCCUUACUUCAAAUUAUAUAUAUUCAGCGUUAGGUACUUCUAAACCAAGUCCUGAACUUUUUCUAAAGCGUCAAUAAAUGAUCAUUAUAUUGUACCGUGUACAAAAACCUGACUAACUCGGUUUUGCACACUUCUGAUGAAGAACUGCGCAUCCUGUUUUGUAUACGAUGGAGAUAUUUAGAGUGUUGCUUUGUUAGCGACUCAUACUUGGGUUUAACGUGGUGACACGCACGCUAAGUGUUUUUUCCCGUUAGUUUACAAGGGCUUUAAUGAUUUCAUAGUUGAUUUGAAUGAAUACACUCCAAAUUAUGAAUGAUGUACUAUCUACUUAAAACAUUGAAAAUGAUUUCAGAAUUAAUUUGAGGAACAACUCUCUGAAUAAAAAUUUCCUCAAGUCCACCUUUGAUUAAUAACGUCUACCCCCCCCCCCCACACACACACUUUCUUGAUGACAGUAAAAGUAACAUUCUGGGUGUCAGCCCUAACCCCUAUGUAAACUUUCUGGAUCCGCCCCUGUAAUAACAGCUUGUGUUAAGAUGGAGAGGAGCACUAAGAAGAAGAAUAAGGCGGAAAUGUUGGCUUGAGCAUCACUGAAGAGACAUUAUUUGUCGAAAUGCGCAACAAAAUUGGUACCGUAUAAGUUUUACACUUACUGAAUACGAUAUUUUCAAGCUAGUAUCGAAGUACUGAGCUACUGGGCUGUAGAGACAUUUCUCUGGACUACGUUGUGAUCACAUGAUAUUUACUUAAGCAUAUAACAGACAAAAGAAGAGACGGAUACUGAGGGUCACAAGCAUUACACUCCUCCUCUGAUUGAAUAUUUACAUUCCCCUUCGUAACAGAAAAGUUUUAUUUUGGGUUGUAUGGCAGCGUUAUCCGUGUUAGGAUGAAGAGAGUUACAAAUGAGAACGAGACGGCUAAUUUAGUGUUGACUUCAUGCGCAUGUGUCAUGAUUUAUGAUAAAAUGUCAUGUGUAAGAAUACUACAAAG